UUGAGAGGCAGCCCUCACUUUAGGAGGCUCCAGUGUCCAUGGAUGGGGAUGUAGACGACGUCUUGCCAAGACUUUGGUUCUUCAGUCUCCUAGAACUGCAGAGUUGGAAGGCACUUCAAGGAUCAUCUAGUCCAACCCCCUACAAUGCAAGAAUUGCACCCCUGACAGAUGGCCAUCCAACCUCUACUUAAAAACCUCCAAGGAAGCACAACUGGAAAAGGACUGUAGAAGAUUAUUCCAACAUACGAUUACAGCAGCGAGGUUGUUAUAUGCACAAACAUGGCAAGAUGGAGCUCUACCUACUGUAUAGGAAUGGUUGAGAAAAUUAUUGGACUUAGCUGAGAUGGCAAAGCUAAUGUGUUUAAUUAGAGAAAAAUAAUUAUUGACAUUUACUAAGGUUUGGAAUCUCCUUAUGGAUUUUUUGCAUGAAAGAGAAAAUGAACUUGUGACAUCUGGAUUUGAAGAUUGAAAAAAUCACUGGCUUGUAGAUAAUAAAAUAGUUGGAGGUUAAUGAGUGGAUACUGUAUUUAGCUGCAGGACAGAGAACCAGAAGUCUUUUAAUCUUUUUUUUCUCUUCCAUUUUCUUUCUUUUUUCUCUUCUGUUUCUUUCCCCCUUUCUUCUUUUUGCUACUGUUCCUUUUUUUAAAAGAUUAGAUUGUAAAAGCACCUUUAUUCUGCUGUAUCAUUAAAAGAUACUUCGUAUUCGGUAUGAACUUUUGUAUAUCUUUGGACAAAUGAAAAUAUUUCUUAAAAUACAAACAAACAAAUAAACAGAC